AUGGCUUACCACAAUAAUUUCUGGGACAAUUGUUUGUCCAAAAAAUGUGCUUCUGUGACAAACCUAGCUAUGUGUACUUACUUGGAUAACUAAGUGCACAUGACUUUCAGAAUGCCAUGUUAAGUGCAGUUGGGAAUUGUAAGGAAUUUCUUAGAAAUUAUUCAUAAAUGUCACUUUUGUUCUUAACAGAGGAAGUAAUAUUUAUCUAGUCAAGCAAAGUGACUCAUCAUAUAUUGAAACAGUUUUAGUACAAAUCUGUGUGUGAUACAGCCUGGCAUUUAUUCCCAUUGUGGUUAGUACCACAUGAAAUUUCUGCUUUUUUUGUUGACACCGCAGUCACAGUACCAAAUGAGUCGAUCUGGGUCAACACGAUGACAUCAAUACGCUGCUAAACACUUAGUGGUGAGAGAGAACCAUCACCUGUGGGCAUGACCAGAGAACCGGAGCAUUUCCAUGUUUUAUCAACUCUCCAAAUGGUUACUUCUUUAUUUUUUGUUUAUUUUGGCAAGUCACUUUGAGUGAACAUGUCUUCUUGAACAAUGUAAUCAAAUAAACAAACACUGAUUGAGGGAAGUUAUGCUUCUGUGUCACUGCACCUUCAUGCACGCCACAAUGGUAAACAUCUGAUGCUGCGCAGGUUGAAAGGGUUCUGUCUGCAGUGGAAAAUAACACAGUGUAGCGCCGUGCCAAGUAAAACCUUACUAUGCAAUGGAAACAUGUUGUGUGCCUGAGGAUUAUUUAGCUUUAUGAGCUAAAAAGAUUUCAACUGCUUCUGUGCAGAAAGAAUAGAGUGACAUUUGCCUACAGUGUUUUCCAGGUCUGGUUAGUAUGGAGAAAAUGAAUUAUGGAGAGCAUGUGUUUCCAAAAUGUUUUCUAUGUAACAUUUCCAGAAGGAUAAAACUCUGAUUACGGGUGGAGACAGUGUUUUCAACUAAACCGUCUCCAGCUCUAUUUUGAUGCUAUUGCUGUCUCACCACCAAUUUACUGCUGGGGAAAAAAAUGCUUUUAUCAGGGUCUGAUGGCGGGUUUAUAAUGAGUGCAAUGCUUAAAGCUGUUGUGGAUCUCCGGAGGACUGGAGGAGGUUCCUGCGGCCUUCUCCACCAGGGGGCGUUCAGGAACUUCAUGGUGGGCGUGGUCGGCGGAUCCUGCCGGCACACCUGCUGCCACUUACCUUGUUGGGAGGAGUAUUUCAGGAGGACAUCGUCAACACUCUUGUGCCAGAGUGUUAGCUCGUAAAUGGUUUUCGUUGCCGCGGAGCUGCCGGCAUCCUGUCCGUCUGGAUUCCCUGUGGCCGGAGGAAUCAUCGAGACCACACAACCUGAUCCUCCUUGUUUCCCGAAGAGCCUGUCUCACCUGUCCGCCCUCCAACGCCGCCGUCGCCCGUCCUCUCUGCUCCAACCCCUGAUCCACCGUGCUGCCUAUCCCUCUCAGCUCCGCUUUAUCCACCAGCAAGAAGACCAUUGGUCCGGUUCCGCCCUCCCGAGUGUCCCAUCCUGGAUGUCUUUCACAUUUUACACCGUGUUUAUAAUAAACCACUGAUCUU